GACGGAGGAUGCAAGCGUUAUCCGGAAUGAUUGGGCGUAAAGCGUCUGUAGGUGGCAGUUCAAGUCUGCUGUCAAAGACCGGGGCUUAACUUCGGAAAGGCAGUGGAAACUGAACAGCUAGAGUAUGGUAGGGGCAGAGGGAAUUCCUGGUGUAGCGGUGAAAUGCGUAGAGAUCAGGAAGAACAUCGGUGGCGAAGGCGCUCUGCUGGACCAUAACUGACACUCAGGGACGAAAGCUAGGGGAGCGAAUGGG
rnacentral:rRNA from 1 species